ensembl:rRNA 5S_rRNA 5S ribosomal RNA
GUCUAUGGCCAUACCACCCUGAACACACCCGAUCUCAUCUGAUCUCUGAAGCUAAUCAGGGUCAGGCCUGGUUAAUACUUGGAAAGGAGAUAUCACAGUUUCUGUGAGUC